GAUGAACGCUAGCGGGAGGCCUAACACAUGCAAGCCGAGCGGUAUUGUUUCUUCGGAAAUGAGAGAGCGGCGUACGGGUGCGUAACACGUGUGCAACCUGCCUUUAUCUGGGGGAUAGCCUUUCGAAAGGAAGAUUAAUACUCCAUAAUAUAUUGAACGGCAUCGUUUAAUAUUGAAAGCUCCGGCGGAUAGAGAUGGGCACGCGCAAGAUUAGCUAGUUGGUGAGGUAACGGCUCACCAAGGCGAUGAUCUUUAGGGGGCCUGAGAGGGUGAUCCCCCACACUGGUACUGGGACACGGACCAGACUCCUACGGGAGGCAGCAGUGAGGAAUAUUGGUCAAUGGGUGCAAGCCUGAACCAGCCAUCCCGCGUGAAGGACGACUGCCCUAUGGGUUGUAAACUUCUUUUGGAUAGGGAUAAACCUACCCUCGUGAGGGUAGCUGAAGGUACUAGACGAAUAAGCACCGGCUAACUCCGUG
rnacentral:rRNA from 1 species